AUUUUUAUUGUAUAGUGGAGUAGCAGAAAAGUAAAAGACGGUAGCUCCAAUCUUUAAAGAGGUGAUGCCUAUGAGGAUAGGCAGAAAAAUCCAACGGAAAGGAGCAGGGCUUUUGACUGCAUACGAGAUUAUUUCUGUAAUCUUUGCAUUCACCAUUGUUGUGAUCGAGAUUAUCAGAU
rnacentral:sRNA from 1 species